rnacentral:rRNA from 1 species
GUAGGUGGCAAGCGUUGUCCGGGAAUUAUUGGGGCGUAAAGCGCGCGCAGGCAGUUCUUUAAGGUCUGAUGUGAAAGCCCACGGGCUCAACCGUGGAGGGUCAUUGGAAACUGGAGAACUUGAGUACAGAAGAGGAAAGCGGAAUUCCACGUGUAGCGGUGAAAUGCGUAGAGAUGUGGAGGAACACCAGUGGCGAAGGCGGCUUUCUGGUCUGUAACUGACGCUGAGGCGCGAAAGCGUGGGGAGCAAACAGGAUUAGAUACCCUGGUAGUCCACGCCGUAAACGAUGAGUGCUAAGUGUUAGGGGGUUUCCGCCCCUUAGUGCUGCAGCUAACGCAUUAAGCACUCCGCCUGGGGAGUACGGCCGCAAAGGCUG